rnacentral:rRNA from 1 species
UGCAUUAGCUAGUUGGUGAGGUAACGGCUCACCAAGGCCACGAUGCAUAGCCGACCUGAGAGGGUGAUCGGCCACACUGGGACUGAGACACGGCCCAGACUCCUACGGGAGGCAGCAGUAGGGAAUCUUCGGCAAUGGACGAAAGUCUGACCGAGCAACGCCGCGUGAGUGAAGAAGGUUUUCGGAUCGUAAAACUCUGUUGUUAGAGAAGAACAAGGAUGAGAGUAGAACGUUCAUCCCUUGACGGUAUCUAACCAGAAAGCCACGGCUAACUACGUGCCAGCAGCCGCGGUAAUACGUAGGUGGCAAGCGUUGUCCGGAUUUAUUGGGCGUAAAGCGAGCGCAGGCGGUUUCUUAAGUCUGAUGUGAAAGCCCCCGGCUCAACCGGGGAGGGUCAUUGGAAACUGGGAGACUUGAGUGCAGAAGAGGAGAGUGGAAUUCCAUGUGUAGCGGUGAAAUGCGUAGAUAUAUGGAGGAACACCAGUGGCGAAGGCGGCUCUCUGGUCUGUAACUGACGCUGAGGCUCGAAAGCGUGGGGAGCG